AUUGAACGCUGGCGGCAUGCUUUACACAUGCAAGUCGAACGGUAACAGGCCGCAAGGUGCUGACGAGUGGCGAACGGGUGAGUAAUGCAUCGGAACGUGCCCAGUCGUGGGGGAUAACUACUCGAAAGAGUAGCUAAUACCGCAUACGAUCUAUGGAUGAAAGCGGGGGACCGUAAGGCCUCGCGCGAUUGGAGCGGCCGAUGUCCGAUUAGGUAGUUGGUGGGGUAAAGGCUCACCAAGCCAACGAUCUGUAGCUGGUCUGAGAGGACGACCAGCCACACUGGGACUGAGACACGGCCCAGACUCCUACGGGAGGCAGCAGUGGGGAAUGUUGGACAAUGGGCGCAAGCCUGAUCCAGCAAUGCCGCGUGCAGGAAGAAGGCCUUCGGGUUGUAAACUGCUUUUGUACGGAACGAAACGGCUCUGGUUAAUACCCGGGGCUAAUGACGGUACCGUAAGAAUAAGCACCGGCUAACUACGUG
rnacentral:rRNA from 1 species